GGAACGGCUUGCGAUUGUCGGCAUUGGAUCAAUGCCUUCAUUUGAUAUGGCCACUGUCUUUGGGGAGCAGCCAUGAUACCAUGGUCUUACCGUGCUCAUGGUCGCUUUGGUUGGGCAGCCUUCUGCGCUGGCGCAGCAAUGGCAUGGUCAUGUCAACUGUCCAGGCAUGCUCUUGGUUAUUCUGCGAUGGCGAACCCCAUUGCUAGAGAGCAUGUCCUGGCUGUCUGACAUGGCCGACGUUGGUUCGCACGGAUAGAUACAGACAAAGUUGUUAUUGUCACCGUUGCUGUUCCACUCCGUUUUCUCAGUCUCUACCCACUAGUUAUAUAGGAUCUGAAAACGAUCUUGCGUCUAGUGGGAGAGUCGACAUGCCCAUCUGUUGAUGGCGUGAACGUUUCAUACGUUUUGUUGCAACGCAUCUUUGACGAGGUAAGGUUUGUGUUCAUGACUCGACAACUCAAUGACCCCAGUAAAAUUGGAUGUAGUUGAGGAUCGACGGUGUGCCUGUCCUUGACAUUUACAUAGGGCUUCAAGAUAUCAGCAAGGAUAGAACAAUGAAAACAAGAGUUGC